GACGAACGCUGGCGGCGUGCCUAACACAUGCAAGUCGAGCGGAGCCAUCCGAUAGAUCCCUUCGGGGUGACAUCGGGGAAGCUUAGCGGCGGACGGGUGAGUAACGCGUGAGUAACCUGCCCAUAAGAGGGGAAUAACACAGCGAAAGUUGUGCUAAUACCGCAUAAUAUGUUUUUACCGCAUGGUAGAGAUGGGCAUGCGUUGUAUUAGCUAGAUGGUGAGGUAAUGGCUCACCAUGGCGACGAUACAUAGGGGGACUGAGAGGUUAACCCCCCCACAUUGGUACUGAGACACGGGACCAAACUCCUACGGGAGGCAGCAGUGAGGAAUAUUGGUCAAAUGGACGCAAGUCUGAACCAGCCAUGCCGCGUGCAGGAUGACGGCUCUAUGAGUUGUAAACUGCUUUUGAUUAGGGUAAACCUUGUACGUGUACUAAGCUGAAAGUAUAAUACGAAUAGGAUCGGCUAACUCCGUGCCAGCAGCCG
rnacentral:rRNA from 1 species